rnacentral:precursor_RNA from 10 species
UACAGGUGCCAAUUUGACACAAAUUCCUGUCUAAAAGUACAGCAGGCUUUAAGUAUAUGCAACGUUAAAGUCUUCUCUACUUUUAGUUAGGUUUUGAACGCGACGUCUCUGGCACAUC